GAUGAAGAACGCAGCAAAAUGCGAUACUUGGUGUGAAUUGCAGAAUCCCGUGAACCAUCGAGUUUUUGAACGCAAGUUGCGCCCGAAGCCUUUUGGCCGAGGGCACGUCUGCCUGGGCGUCACGCAUCGCGUCGCCCCCCACAAUUCUCCGUAAAGGGAACGUGUGUUUUGGGGGCGGAUAUUGGUCUCCCGUGCUCAUGGCGUGGUUGGCCGAAAUAGGAGUCCUUUCGAUGGACGCACGAACUAGUGGUGGUCGUAAAAACCCUCGUCUUUUGUUUCGUGCUGUUGCUCGCAAGGUAAACUCUUUAAAAACCCCAAUGUGUCGUCUCUUGACGACGCUUCGACCGCGACCCCAGGUCAGGCGGGACUACCCGCUGAGUUUAAGCAUAUCAUAAGCGGAGGA
rnacentral:misc_RNA from 1 species